GACGAACGCUGGCGGCGUGCUUAACACAUGCAAGUCGAGCGGUAAGGCCUUUCGGGGUACACGAGCGGCGAACGGGUGAGUAACACGUGGGUGAUCUGCCCUGCACUUCGGGAUAAGCCUGGGAAACUGGGUCUAAUACCGGAUAUGACCUCCUAUCGCAUGGUGGGUGGUGGAAAGAUUUAUCGGUGCAGGAUGGGCCCGCGGCCUAUCAGCUUGUUGGUGGGGUAAUGGCCUACCAAGGCGACGACGGGUAGCCGACCUGAGAGGGUGACCGGCCACACUGGGACUGAGACACGGCCCAGACUCCUACGGGAGGCAGCAGUGGGGAAUAUUGCACAAUGGGCGAAAGCCUGAUGCAGCGACGCCGCGUGAGGGAUGACGGCCUUCGGGUUGUAAACCUCUUUCAGCAGGGACGAAGCGCAAGUGACGGUACCUGCAGAAGAAGCGCCGGCCAACUACGUG
rnacentral:rRNA from 1 species